UGUUUCAUGCCCACUCAGUACCUGCAGCCACCUCUUGGAUGCCCGAGGUCUAGGGUGGUGCCCACUGAGCACUGCCACAAGAUCCUCGGGUUUUUGAAGCUGCCCAAGACCUUUGGGGAGUCUUGUUCCUCCUAGCAGUGAAGUGCAGAGGAUUUCCUCGAGGUCCCCCUCGUGUCUCAGGAAGCCGGAAAUGCAAGGUGCCUGGCGCGGGGCUGCUAACCCGACGCCGCAGUCCAAAAUGCAGAGCACUGCAUGCCACUAGGAGUCCGCCGGCUGACACCACUUUAGGACCCCAGGUAAACCUGGCGCGACCGGAUGGAGAAGUUGCGCGGGUUCGAAAGGUCCAGCCUAGCCGAAAGCUGUCAAGAGGUGAAGUUAGCCAAAGGGAGGGAAUUGCUAAUGUAAGAAAUUUCGGGUACCUUCAAAUUCAGCUCAAUCCAUCAUCACCAUCAGCACUUAAAGAGCACAUUGUCGCUGGAUGCACAGAACCACGUGGGUACGACCCUCUAGAAAUAAGGACUGUGAGUCAGUGGAUCUGGAAGGGCUAUGAAUUGCAGUCUCAAGAUCUUCCUGCUUUUAUGUUGAUCACAUGAUUUUACUAAGACUAUGACGUGAAAUCCAAGAAACAAGUUGUAUUUUGUGCAUUCAUAGGAGAGACAUUUGGAUUGAUGCACAUGGACCAUUAACCAUAGUUACUGGAGUUUGGGAUUGGGGCGGGUAAGAAAGGGAGGUAAAUUUAAAAGGGCAUACAAAACUUGAAUGUUGUUUUUCCAGUUUUAUUUAUUCCCAUAAUUUAUAAAACUAACAAAACUUUUAAAGAAACAAAUUAGAAGAAAUCUACAGAAACUGUACAUUAAUAGAUAAAUCAAUUCGUGUAAAAAUAAAUAAUCUUAAGUCAUGUCCCUUGGUUUAAAUAAAGAUGUUUGUAGGCUCUGUUUUGAUCUUUAAAUGUUGUAAGGGGGCAAAGCUGAUAUUUGA